UGAGUAAAGUGGCGGACGGGUGAGUAAUACGUAGGAAUCUGCCCUAAAGUGGGGGAUAACUUGCCGAAAGGCGAGCUAAUACCGCAUAAUCUCUACGGAGAAAAGGUGCCUUGUACUUGUACAAGGUUUCGCUUUAGGAUGAGCCUACGUCAGAUUAGCUUGUUGGUAGGGUAAAAGCCUACCAAGGCGACGAUCUGUAGCUGGUCUGAGAGGACGAUCAGCCACACUGGAACUGAGACACGGUCCAGACUCC
rnacentral:rRNA from 1 species